rnacentral:rRNA from 1 species
UACGUAGGGUGCGAGCGUUAAUCGGAACUACUGGGCGUAAAGCGUGCGCAGGCGGUUCGCCAAGUCAGGUGUGAAAUCCCCGGGCUUAACCUGGGAAUUGCGCUUGAAACUAGCGGGCUUGAGUGUGGCAGAGGGGGGUGGAAUUCCACGUGUAGCAGUGAAAUGCGUAGAGAUGUGGAGGAACACCGAUGGCGAAGGCAGCCCCCUGGGUCAACACUGACGCUCAUGCACGAAAGCGUGGGGAGCAAACAGG